rnacentral:lncRNA from 10 species
CAAGAAAAUUCAACCUUUAUGUUUAUUCAAUUGCUAAUCUAUUCAGUGUCAAUUGUUGUGGAAGAACUAAGAACUAGACUAGUGCUGCUUAUAAUGUUUUUAAUUAGAACAGACUUGGACCAAUUCUACUUAGAAAUUUACCCUUAGAAGAGGUGAAAGAUAUUAACUGGCAUCUUUUCAGCACAGGUCAGUGCUGAAAAGAACACAACCUAUAACCCUUAGGCCUUGCAGUUGAAUGUUAACAAGUGAAAAGCAAUCUCCUUGGAUGUAUCCAAGCGAUUUUAAUAUAAAUUUCUGCAUACCUAGGUAGAAAGUACUUUAGAAAUAAAUCUACCUUUUCCCUCACUUGUAAGAAAAUGUGGUAGAAGCCUUGAAAAAUUAAGUUUAAGGCUGAGCGAGGUGGCUCACGCCUGUAAUCCAAGCACUUUGGGAGGCGGAGGAGGGCAGAUGACUUGAGGUCAGGAGUUCCAGACCAGCCUGGCCAACAUGGUGAAACCCCGUCUCUACUAAAAAUACAAAAAUCAGCCGGGCAUGGUGGCGGGCGCCUGUAAUCCCAGCUACUCCGGAUGGUGAGGCAGGAGAAUCGCUUGAAUCCGGGAGGUGGAGGCUGUAGUGAGCCGAGAUUGUGCCACUGCAAUCCAGCCUGGGUGACAGAGCAAGACUCCGUCGCAAAACAAAACAAAAACGAAAUCAAAUUUCAAACUCAGAGAAAAGACUGGUCUUGAACAAUUUCAGGAAAAAUUACUGAAACACGAGACAAGGCACAAGAAGCUCUAUGGCCGGAGAUGAACCACCUGUCUCCUUUCGAAGUGCUUCCUGAGGUCCACUUUAUGCUAGUUAAUGUUGCUUCUUAUACUGCAUGUUAGUAAUUCAAAACGCCUAGCUGGAAUAAAAGUCCUCUUUAAACAUUACAGUUUGUCUCCGCGUUGCCAGUGUUUGUUUCCAGUUUCAUAGGCUAUUCUGGUAUGUCAAGAGUUGUGUUAUUACUGUUCCAAAAGAGCCCUUGUUUCAAUCCACUCUCACCUGGGAUGCGGGCAUAACUGAUGUUUAUAGAACUGAUACUUAGAGAUGUUUAGAGAGGCGCAUCCCUUACCACUCCAUCCUUUACCGAUAACCACAUUUUAUAUGUUUUUGUUGCAUUUAAGUUUUUUGUUUUUUUUUUUUAAAGACACCUGCACACACACAAUUUUCCCAUCGCCAGCAGGGAGAAGACUACCAGGCUAGAUCUCCAGGGACUUCAGGGAAACAGACACCGUGAAAUCCACUUGGCCAAAGAAGGGGAGCGCUUCAGGGGCUGGGGGAGGAAGCAGCCCUGAGGUGCUGGGAGGCCGAGGCUGCUCCUGCAGCAGGGGCCAUCUUGUUGCUCGGCCUCCUCUUCCUCCUCCUCGUCCUCCGCCGCCCAGUCGCUCGUUGUCCUCGUCCCCUUCCUCUUCCUCAGGCUCCGGCCCGCCCCGGAGACUGGGGCGGAGACGAGGGCGAGGAUCCUCCCUCAGGAGGCGGGGCGGGCGGAGGGGAGGGGCGGGCGCGGGAGCAAAGCUCUGAGUCACCGGCCACCAACGCCCGGAGGGAGACCGGCGACGCUCUCCGCCGCGACCGAAAGUCUCACACGCCCUGAGCAGAUGAACCGGUCCCUCGGUCCGGUCUGCCCUCCCGCACCGGCGCCUUUGGGCUCAGCGGGCCAGUGGCCAGAUGGCGAGAGUUCUGGAUCUCAUCAGCUUUGUCCUCGUCACCCCUCUGGGAGUUCAGCCUCCUAAGGCUGUGAAACAGCCCAAAAGGCCCGGACACGCUACUCCAAAACGUCUCUCCUGGGCUGUGUGAACAAUAAGAGCUAUUUGGGGACGACAGGAAAAGAUAUGGCCCAUAGAAGGGCUCCUGAAAUCUAACCUUGCGACUCUUUAAAAGUUUCUUGUCCCUUGUGGAAAAGGUGCCGUUUUGGUUUUGGGGAAUGGGAGGUCCCUUCAGACAAUUCAUUUUAGCCAAACCCUCGCUUUUGAGAAGGGGAAGAAAUGGGAUUAUUGUAACACCAUACAGUACUAAUUUCAAAAUAAAUCAUCUAGAAUAGAGGAGAGAGAGAGUCCCCAAAUAAACAACCAUUUAAUACCUCUACUCGGCGCUAUCACCUUUUUUGCUUCAGGAUUUGACCAAGAGAGCAGAGAUUAUGUUUUUCUGUCCUUUCUUCACUGUUUACAUCACAGUACCCCAAGAGAAGCACUUCUGCCUUUAACUUGAUACAUUGGAAUCGCUAUCACAGAUAGUGUUUUUGUAUUAUUUUUAAGAAAUAUCACACACCUUCCUAAACUCUUGGCAGAGAAGAAUUCUUUUUAGUUGUUAGCACCCUCCUGCUACUGAGAUCUCAGCUUCUGUUUAGAAGACCUAUUGUUGUCUUUCCACUGAUUGGAAUUUGCUGCCUCUGAACUGGGUUUAAUCUGUAAUCGUCUUUUCAGCCUACUAAAUAGUAACCCCAGUCCUACAGAGAGUGAAUUUCUAGCUACCACAGGGGGAUUUAGGUUAGCAUGUGCCAAUCUAAAGGGAUCUCUUAAAGCCUUUCCCUUCUCAGACCAGGCCUCUGUACCCUGCUAGGAAAAACAGAUUAAUCUGCUCCUCCUGCUUUUCCUCCUCCUCCCUUCUUCUCACUCCUAGGGAACCUUCCACAACAGAAGGUUUUAGCGACUGUUGCUAGGCAAACAUGCCAACUUCCUUGUUUAGGUGAAGCGAGUAACUCAACUUCCAUUGCAAGUAACCUAGAUAAUGUAAUUUCUUUGAACUAUUAAUAGUUAUACCACAGUUGGUAAGGCUCCUUAAAGGUUCCCUUAAGCAGUAUGAUUUUUACGUUGUUUAUUUUUAUCUCGUCAAUAUUUCAAUUAAAAAUACGUUAAAGGACAGAUAGAUGCAGUGGCUCACGCCUGUAAUCCCAACAUUUUAGGAGGCUGAGGGGGGCGGAUCACCUGAGGUCCGGAGCCUGACCAACGUGGAGAAACCCCAUCUCUACUAAAAAUACAAAAAUUAGCCAGGUGUGGUGGCGUGCACCUAUAGUCCUAGCUACUCGGGAGGCUGAGGCAGGAGAAUCACUUGAACCUGGGAGGUGGAGGUUGUAGUGAGCCGAGAUCACGCCAUUGCACUCCAGUCUGGGCAAAAAGAGCUAAACUCUGUCUCAAAAAAAAAAAAAAAAAAAAAAAAAAAGUUAAAAAUGGCGGCGCUUCCCCAAACCCAAAUUCAUUUUAGUGAUAUAAAGAUGCAUUUGACAGAAAAAGAAGAGCAGCUUUGAAGAAAACACUUAUGCUUACAAUAAAAAAUAAAAAACUAAUCUGUGAGAAGUCAUAUGUUUUCAACUCCCCAGUCAGACUAGAAGUGUAAGAUACAGGGGAUAAGGCCGGGAGCGGUGGCUCACGCUUGUAAUCCCAGCACUUUGGGAGGCCGAGGCAGGCAGAUCACGAGGUCAGGAGAUGCAGACUAUUCUGGCCAACAUGGUGAAACCCCGUCUCUACCAAAAAUACAAAAAGCCCGGCGUGGUGGCGCGCGCCUAUAGUCCCAGCUACUCAGGAGACAGAGGCAGGAGAAUCACUUGAACCUGAGAGGCAGAGGCUGCAGUGAGCCAAGAUUGUACCACUGCACUCCAGCCUGGAUGACAGCAAGACUCGGUCUUGGCAGAGCAUUGUGGCCCACGCCUGUAAUCCCAGCACUUUGGGAGGCUGAGGAGGGUGGCUCUCCUAAGGUCAGGAGUUCAAGACCAGCUUGGCCAACAUGGUGAAACCCCGUCUCUACUAAAAAUACAAAAAAAUUAGCUGGGCGUGGUGGCAGGCACCUGUAAUCCCAUCUACUAGGGAGGCUGAGGCAGGAGAAUCCUUUGAACCUGGGAGGCGGAGGUUGCAGUGAGCCGAGAUCGUGCCAUUGCACUCCAGCCUGGGCAACAAGAAUGAAACUCCGUCUCAAAAAAAACACCAAAAAUUAGCUGGGCAUGGUGGUGCACGCUUGUAAUCCCAGCUACUUGGGAGGCUGAGACAGGAGAAUCGCUUGAACCUGGUAGGUGGAGGUUACAGUGAGCCGAGAUCACGCCACUGCACUCCAGCCUGGCGACAGAGCAAGACUCCAUCUCAAAAAAGAAAAAAAGAAAAAAAAAAGAUACAGAGGAUAAUUUAUCUCUUGAAAUUGAGUCUAUUUAAAAUAAAGAUAAUAUGAAUAUUCAGCAAGGGGGAAAAAAGAUAUUCUGGGUUUUAUUCCUAAAUUAACAAUUAUUUGAAAAUUUAGCUAGGGAAAUAAGCUUUUUUUAAAAAUUUUAUUUAAAAUGUUUUUACUCUUGUUAGAGUAUUGAGAUUUGUUGUGAAUUAAUACAAAUAAGAUUAAAUGAGGCUGAGCAUGGCAGCUCAUGCCUGUAAUCCUAGCAUUUUAGGAGGCUGAGGCAGGAGGAUUGCUUGAGGCCAAGAGUUCAAGACCACCUGGCCAACAUAGAAGACCUUGUCUCCAUUUAAUUAAAAAAAAAUUUUUAUAAAAGAUUAAUGACGCCAGGCAAGGUGGCUCACAUCUGUAAUCCCAGAACUUUGGGAGGCCGAGGCAGGCGGAUCACCUGAGGCCAGGAGUUCGAGCCCAGCCUGGCCAACAUGGCAAAGCCCCAUCUCUACUAAAAAUACAAAAAUUGGCUGGAUAUGGUGGUACAUGCCUGUAAU